AAAUAAAAACUAUAUACAUAUUAAGAUGUAAAAGAAAAAAGAAAAAAACAUCAAAUUCAAGAACAAAGUUUGAGUUCAGCACCAUCUUCUCCUCAAGCUUGUUGUGUCCAAAAAUGGUUAAUCUCUCUUGAGAAGACGCAGUUGUAAGCCCCUUUGUGGUGAAGAAACGCGGCGGCGAGGGGGCAACGCAACGCAAUCGCGACUUCGGCGAGGGACCUCGAUCUGGCCGUAGAGUUGCUGAAAGGUCUGUUGGGCUCGUCGGAGGAUGGGCAGACGAAUGGUGGUGGUCCGGCGACGUGAAGCGUUCAGACGGCGGCGAAUCGAUGCUGGAACCGAGGCGGCGGAGCAACUUACGGUACGCUGAAAACGUCGAUGAAAAUGCAAUUCAAUCGGAGUGGAAUGUUUUCCUUGAUGCGGGGAAUCGAUAGGUGUACAUCUCGGCCGGUGGGUCGUCGGAGUGGUGACGGUGGCGGCCAAAACGGGUUGUGAGAGGUGGUGGUUCUCAGUGCAAGGAAAUUGCUGAAAAUGAGGGGGCCUGUGGGCUUUUAUGCCCUAUUUUGGUAGGCUUUUUGGGACAAAGUCUGCAAAAAUAAAGAUAAAAAUUUGAUACUGUGCGAACGGCAACCGCUUGAGGCCUCAAAUGGCGGCGCUAACUCAUUCCCUCCGCCCCCGUUUCGCAUUCGCGAAGAUGACUCUUCAGCUCAAACUCUUCCACUCAUUUUCCGACUCCGAACAUGAUGAACCAUCUGGGCCACCCUGUGGUUCCGUGGAAAAACCAUCUCUCCCGCCUUUCCAGCACUCGCCGGAGGCGGACUCUCUAUCCCAAGUCCUAAUCCGGCACCACAAUCCGUUCCACCAUAUGGAAUCUUCCCUCCAACUAUACGGUAUUUCCCUCUCCCCGCCUUUAGUCCACCAGACACUCCACCGCUUGAAGCACCAUUCCAAGAUUGCUCUCGCUUUCUUUGAAUAUACUCGGUCCCAUCACCACUCCGUUUCUGCUCCUCUUUUCGAUACCGGAGCAUACAAUAUUAUCAUUGAUAUCUUGUGCAAAGUUCGCCAAUUUGAUGCCGCGUGGCAGCUGAUUUUGCAAAUGGAUAACCAGAAUAGUGAUUCGAAACCAGAUUUCACGACUUUCUUUAUAUUGAUCAGAAGGCUGGUUUCCGCAGGGUUGACGAGAACUGCAAUUCGCGCGUUUUACGACAUGGGUAUUUUUCUUGGUAAUCGGAUUUUUGAGUCAAGGUUUAGUUUUUGUUUCUGUUAUCUUUUGGAUACGCUUUGCAAGUAUGGGUUUGUGAAGGUUGCUGUCGAAGUGUUUAACAAGGAGAAAUAUAGAGUGGAAACGGACGCAAAGUUGUAUACUGUUUUGAUCUAUGGGUGGUGUAAAGUUGGAAGAAUUGAGAUGGGAAAGCGGUUUCUGCUGGAGAUGUUGGAGAGGAAAAUUGAACCGAACGUAGUCACUUAUAAUGUCUUGUUGAAUGGGAUUUGCAGGCGUGCCAGUUUGCACCCUGAGGGAAGGUUCGAGAGGGUGAUUAGGGAAGCAGAGAAGGUGUUUGAUGAAAUGCGAGACAGAGGGUUGGAGCCUGAUGUCACGAGUUAUUCAAUUUUGCUUCAUGUGUACAGCAGGGCACAUAAGCCCCAGUUGUGUUUAGACAAGUUGGGGAUGAUGAAAGAGAAGGGGAUUUGUCCGAGUGUUGCAACAUAUACUUCUCUUGUAAAAUGUCUUUGUUCUUGUGGGAGGAUGGGGGAUGCUGAGGAGAUGUUGAAUGAGAUGGUGCAUUCUGGGGUUAGUCCCACAGCAGAGACGUACAAUUGCUUUUUUAAGGAGUACAGAGGUAGGAAUGAUGUCGAUGGCUCAAUGAAGUUGUACCGGAGGAUGAAGGAGGAUGACUCUUUACUUUCACCUAACAUGCACACUUAUAAUAUAUUGUUGGGAAUGUUCCUGAAAUUAGGGAAAAUGGGUCUUGCAUGGGAGAUUUGGGAUGAUAUGAAUGCAAGUGGGAUUGGACCAGAUUUGGAUGCUUAUACGAUGUUGGUUCACGGAUUGUGCGAGAGAAGGAAAUGGAGCCAAGCUUGUGAGUUUUUCAUGGAGAUGAUUGAGAAAGGGUUUCUUCCACAAAAGGUUACUUUUGAGACACUCUACCGAGGCUUGAUUCAAGCUGAUAUGUUGAGGACCUGGAGAAGAUUGAAGAAGAAACUUGAGGAAGAAUCAAUUACUUUUGGUUCAGAAUUUAAAGAGUAUCAUCUCAAGCCAUAUAAGAGAUGACCUUUGUUCUAUGUUUUGGUUGCAAGAUUAUGCCUUUUCAGAAUGCAGAAGAAACUUUCAAAAGAAAUCUUGAACGAACGGAUAGCCAGCUGACAAGAAGAUGGCCUUUCGGAAGAACACAAAAAUAUGCACUAAUGCAAGUUAAAAACACCAUAGUUUACAUUUAACUUUUUAUGUUUAUUAAUUUAUUAAUUUAGAAGCACCGUAGUUUGUAUUUUAAUUUUUCAUGUUCAUUUAUUUAUUAAUAUUUGUUUAGGCUUCAUUUCGGGCAGUUUUCGUUAUUACUUAGAUGAUAUAUUGAAACAUGCUUUUGUAAUACUUUCCUUUCUUUGUAUAUAUGCAAUUAUUCCUUUAUAAUAAUUUUCGCCAUUUCUAUGC